GAUGGACGCUAGCGGCAGGCCUAACACAUGCAAGUCGAGGGAGAGGUUACCUUCGGGUAACCAAAACCGGCGCACGGGUGCGUAACGCGUAUACAAUCUGCCUUUCACAUAGGGAUAGCCCGAAGAAAUUUGGAUUAAUACCUAAUGGUAUAUAAGAGCGGCAUCGUUUUUAUAUUAAAGCUACGGUGGUGAAAGAUGAGUAUGCGUUCUAUUAGCUAGUUGGAGAGGUAACGGCUCCCCAAGGCGACCAUAGAUGGGGGUUCUGAGAGGGAUGUCCCCCACUCUGGUAGUGACAUACGGACCAUACUCCUACGGGAGGCUCCUCUGAGGAAUAUUGGACAAUGGUCGGAAGACUGAUCCAGCCAUGCCGCGUGCAGGAUGAAGGUCCCAUGGAUUGUAUACUGCUUUUUCCUCGGAAGAGUCACGAGUACGAGUCCGUUGAUGACGGCACCUUACGAGUGAGGAUCGGCUCACUCCGUGCCACCAUCCGUGGUCAUACUGAGGAUGCGAGCGCUCUCCGGCAUCAUUAGGUUUAAAGGGCUCGUAUGCGGGCUGAUAAGCUAGAGGUGAAAGCGCAUGACUCACUAAGCAACUGCCUGUGUAAAUGUCAGUUUUUGACUGAUUGUAAAUAAGUUGGAAGAGAAGGGAACGCGCUCACGCUUUACAUAUUCGGCUU
rnacentral:rRNA from 1 species